AUUGAACGCUGGCGGCAGGCCUAACACAUGCAAGUCGAACGGUAGCACAGAGAGCUUGCUCUCGGGUGACGAGUGGCGGACGGGUGAGUAAUGUCUGGGAAACUGCCCGAUGGAGGGGGAUAACUACUGGAAACGGUAGCUAAUACCGCAUAACGUCGCAAGACCAAAGUGGGGGACCUUCGGGCCUCACACCAUCGGAUGUGCCCAGAUGGGAUUAGCUAGUAGGUGGGGUAAUGGCUCACCUAGGCGACGAUCCCUAGCUGGGCUGAGAGGAUGACCAGCCACACUGGAAAUGAGACACGGUCCAGACUCCUACGGGAGGCAGCAGUGGGGAAUAUUGCACAAUGGGCGGAAGCCUGAUGCAGCCAUGCCGCGUGUAUGAAGAAGGCCUUCGGGUUGUAAAGUACUUUCAGCGGGGAGGAAGGCGGUGAAGUUAAUAGCUUCACCGAUUGACGUUACACGCAGAAGAAGCACCGGCUAACUCCGUGCCAGCCGCCGCCGUAA
rnacentral:rRNA from 1 species